rnacentral:rRNA from 1 species
CCUACGGGAGGCUGCAGUGAGGAAUAUUGGUCAAUGGCCGGAAGGCUGAACCAGCCAAGCCGCGUGAAGGACGAAGGUGCCAAGCAUUGUAAACUUCUUUUGUCAAGGGACAAAAUCAGGCUCGAGAGCCUGACCGAGGGUACUUGAAGAAAAAGCAUCGGCUAACUCCGUGCCAGCAGCCGCGGUAAUACGGAGGAUGCGAGCGUUAUCCGGAUUUAUUGGGUUUAAAGGGUGCGUAGGCGGACUGUUAAGUCAGCGGGAAAAGCCCGGGGCUCAACCCCGGCGCGCCGUUGAAACUGGGUGUCUUGAGAUGUCGAGAGGUAUGCGGAAUGCGCAGUGUAGCGGUGAAAUGCUUAGAUAUUGCGCAGAACUCCGAUUGCGAAGGCAGCAUACCGGCGGCGAUCUGACGCUGAGGCACGAAAGCGUGGGUAUCGAACAGGAUUAGAUACCCCAGUAGUC